rnacentral:rRNA from 1 species
UACGUAGGGUGCGAGCGUUGUCCGGAAUUAUUGGGCGUAAAGGGGCUCGUAGGCGGUUUGUCGCGUCGGGAGUGAAAUCCACUGGCUUAACUGGUGGUUGCUUUCAUAGGGCGGACUGGAGGUAUGCAGGGGGAGAACGGAAUUCCUGGUGUAGCGGUGAAAAUGCGCAGAUAUCAGGAGGAACACCGGUGGCGAAGGCGGGUCUCUGGGCAGUAACUGAC